rnacentral:rRNA from 1 species
AAACCCCUCUCAGAGUAACAAUUGGAGGGCAAGUCUGGUGCCAGCAGCCGCGGUAAUUCCAGCUCCAAUAGCGUAUAUUAAAGUUGUUGCAGUUAAAAAGCUCGUAGUUGGAUGUCUGUUGGAAGCAAUCAUCAGUCCGCCCUAUUUGAUUAGGGUGUGAAUAUGAUGAAUUCCGGCAUAAUUGUCUCCCUAUUAUCAAUAUAUAAGAUGAUCAUUAUUAGAUUCAUUUCUAAUAAUGCGUCUACUAUAUUAUUGGUAGUAUGGGAGAAAUGUUACUUUGAGAAAAUUAGAGUGUUUGAAGCAGGCUUUUGUUGCCUUGAAUACUGCAGCAUGGAAUAACAAUAUAGGAUUUCGGUUCUAUUUUGUUGGUUUUUUUUAGGACUGAAAUAAUGAUUAAUAGGGACAGUUGGGGGCAUU